rnacentral:rRNA from 1 species
AUGGCAGGAGCGACUUCUUCCAAUGGAGGGGGGAGUACUAGUUCAGGUAGAAGGAAGGGGAAGACUCCGAUCGACCUGGAAGCGGCGAUGAGGAACAUGAAGCUGAAGGAGACGGAGCUGGAUGACGUGAUCGUUGGCGAUGAGGAAAUUGCAGAACUGUUCAAGGAGUCCCGGUGGCUAGCGGUAGCACGGGUGAACACGACGAAGUACUUCAGUGCCGAGUCCUUCAAGAACACAAUGAUUUUCGCAUGGAGACUUGCCCACGAGCCAGAUAUCCGCGAGGCAGAUAACAAUCUGUUCAUCGUCCAACUUUUCUGCUUAGGUGAUUGGAACAGAGUUAUGCACCAGGGCCCUUGGAUCUAUAGGGGACUUAUGGUGGCAAUUAAAGAGUAUGAUGGCAAAGGUAAACCAGAUCUAGUUCAGCUCGACCGAGUCCAUGUGUGGGCGCAGAUUCAUGAUACCCCGGAGCUCUACAGGAAGGAGAUAAUUUUAGACCAACUGGCUCGUCGCAUAGGUCAGGUGAAGAGCGUGGAGAUGAACCCUAACCGAGUCUUUGAAGGCAACUAUGUUAGGGUCCGGGCGAAGAUUAAACUAGCUGAUCCUUUGGUGCGGUUUGCCCCAAUGAACAUCAAAGGGGAAGGGCGAAUUCUCUUGCCAGUAAGAUAUGAGAAGAUGGGCUUCUUCUGUGAAGUCUGUGGCGUCCUAGGCCAUUCCAUGGAAGAGUGCGGCGAUGGGGUUCACAGCCCCGAGGAGGUUGAAUACGGGGAGUGGAUGAAAGCAACCAGGAGAGCCAUGCCGGAUAACCAGAACCGUGACCCGAGCUGGAACAGGGGGAAUUCCACACGAGGACGUGGACGUGCCCGUGGUGGCGGCUGCGGAAGAAACAAUGGAGCCAAGAAACGAUCAUCGGAGGACGCCGGUCUAGGUGAGGAAAUUGACAAAGAUGGUGAUGAUGAUCUCAAAGAUACGGCUAAGAGCCCUCUCAAGGAAAAGGGCGUUGAUGUUGGGACUGUCCGGCCACAGACCACGGUUAGUCGCAAGUUGAACAUGGAUGAGCAGGCUGAUGAGAGCAUCAGAGGUGGCUCGCUUGAUGCAUCUGUGCAAGGGGCCAGUGUUGUCCCUCCUCCUCCACCACCUUAUGUUACCCCAAGGGAUAGAAAGAAGCAAAAGCAAGGUAGUUCCCCAAACAAAAGCAAUAUGGACAGCGUGGCGGGCUCCUCUGAGGAGCGCCGCCGGGUCCAAUGA